rnacentral:rRNA from 1 species
AAAUUGAAGAGUUUGAUCAUGGCUCAGAUUGAACGCUGGCGGCAGGCCUAACACAUGCAAGUCGAACGGUAACAGGAAACAGCUUGCUGUUUCGCUGACGAGUGGCGGACGGGUGAGUAAUGUCUGGGAAACUGCCUGAUGGAGGGGGAUAACUACUGGAAACGGUAGCUAAUACCGCAUAACGUCGCAAGACCAAAGAGGGGGACCUUCGGGCCUCUUGCCAUCGGAUGUGCCCAGAUGGGAUUAGCUAGUAGGUGGGGUAACGGCUCACCUAGGCGACGAUCCCUAGCUGGUCUGAGAGGAUGACCAGCCACACUGGAACUGAGACACGGUCCAGACUCCUACGGGAGGCAGCAGUGGGGAAUAUUGCACAAUGGGCGCAAGCCUGAUGCAGCCAUGCCGCGUGUAU